GAUGAACGCUGGCGGCGUGCCUAAUACAUGCAAGUCGAGCGAACAGACGAGGAGCUUGCUCCUCCGACGUUAGCGGCGGACGGGUGAGUAACACGUGGAUAACCUACCUAUAAGACUGGGAUAACUUCGGGAAACCGGAGCUAAUACCGGAUAAUAUAUUGAACCGCAUGGUUCAAUAGUGAAAGACGGUUUUGCUGUCACUUAUAGAUGGAUCCGCGCCGCAUUAGCUAGUUGGUAAGGUAACGGCUUACCAAGGCAACGAGGCGUAGCCGACCUGAGCGAGUAUACGGCGACACUGUGACUGGGACGCGGUCCAGACUCCUACGGGAGGCAGGAGUAGGGAAUCUUGCGCAAAAGGCGUAAGCCUGACGGAGCAACGCCGCGUGAGUGAUGACGGUCUUCGGAUCGUAAAACUCUGUUAUUAGGGAAGAACAAAUGUGUAAGUAACUAUGCACGUCUUGACGGUACCUAAUCAGAAAGCCACGGCUAACUACGUG
rnacentral:rRNA from 1 species